GAUGAACGCUGGCGGCGUGCCUAAUACAUGCAAGUCGAGCGAACAGACGAGGAGCUUGCUCCUCUGACGUUAGCGGCGGACGGGUGAGUAACACGUGGAUACCCUACCUAUAAGUCUGGGAUCACUUCGGGAAACCGGAGCUAAUACCGGAUAAUAUAUUGAACCGCAUGGUUCAAUAGAGAAAGACGGUUUUGCUGUCCCUUAUAGAUGGAUCCGCGCCGCAUUAGAUAGUUGGUAAGUUAACGGCUUACCAAGGCAACGAUGCGUAGCCGACCUGAGAGGCUGAUCGGCCACACUGGAACUGAGACACGGUCCAGACGCCUACGGGAGGCAGCAGUAGGGAAUCUUCCGCAAUGGGCGAAAGCCUGACGGAGCAACGCCGCGUGAGUGAUGAAGGUCUUCGGAUCGUAAAGCUCUGUUAUUAGGGAAGAACAAAUGUGUAAGUAACUAUGCACGUCUUGACGGUACCUAAUCAGAAAGCCACGGCUAACUACGUG
rnacentral:rRNA from 1 species